ACUCGAGUGCUCAGGAUUUACAUUGCAUCAUGUAAAGGUAAGGUCCCAUGCUUCUUAGACGGGUACAAGAGGAAAGCUAGAAAUCUCCAAAUGUUUACAUUGCAUCAUGUAAAGGUAAGGUCCCAUGCUUCCUAGACGGGUACGAGAGGAAAGCUAGACAUCUCCAAAUGCCGACACCCAAUUAUCACGCGCAUUGCUUCCAAUUGGUCGACAUCCCAAGUAGCUGGAAUCCUCAGAGUAAGCUUUAAAAACUUUCUCUAUGGCGCCAUCAUCUUAUCUAUGCGAAUGGUGUGGCUCAGAGAGGCCAAUCCAAUUCGAUUGGAGGGAUCAAUGUAUUUAUAUAUGCCAAUGGCACUGUUUUUAGUCAUUGAUUCUGUCUCA
rnacentral:lncRNA from 1 species